GUUUAUCAAAAACAUGUCUUUUUGAAUUUAAUUUAAAGUCUAACCUGCCCACUGAAGUUUUAAAUGGCCGCAGUAUUUUAACUGUGCAAAGGUAGCAUAAUCAUUAGUCUUUUAAUUGAAGGCUGGAAUGAAUGGUUGAAUGAGAUAUUAACUGUUUCAUAUAAAUUAAUAAUAAAAUUUUAUUUUUUAGUUAAAAAGCUAAAAUUUGAUUAAAAGACGAGAAGACCCUAUAAAUCUUUAUAUUUAAUUUUAUAACUAUUAUAUUGAUUAUUUAAAUUUUUAUAAAAUUAAAUAUUUUAUUGGGGUGAUAUUAAAAUUUAAAUAACUUUUAAUUUAAAUAAUACAAAAAUUAUUGAAUUAUUGAUCCAUAAAUAAUGAUUAGGAAAUUAAGUUACUUUAGGGAUAACAGCGUANUUUUUUUAGAGAGUUCAUAUUAAUAAAAAAGUUUGCGACCUCGAUGUUGGAUUAAGAUAAAAUUUAGGUGAA
rnacentral:rRNA from 1 species